rnacentral:tRNA from 1 species
AUUAUUGUAGUUUAAAGAGAAUACUAGCUUGUGGCGCUGGGGGUGUUGAGGCCAAUAAUA